rnacentral:rRNA from 1 species
AGAGCGAACGCUGGCGGCAGGCCUAAUACAUGCAAGUCGAACGGAUCCUUCGGGAUUAGUGGCGGACGGGUGAGUAACACGUGGGAACGUGCCCUUUGGUUCGGAACAACUCAGGGAAACUUGAGCUAAUACCGGAUGUGCCCUUCGGGGGAAAGAUUUAUCGCCCAGGGAUGAGCCCGCGUUGGAUUAGCUAGUUGGUGGGGUAAAGGCCUACCAAGGCGACGAUCCAUAGCUGGUCUGAGAGGAUGAUCAGCCACACUGGGACUGAGACACGGCCCAGACUCCUACGGGAGGCAGCAGUGGGGAAUAUUGGACAAUGGGCGAAAGCCUGAUCCAGCAAUGCCGCGUGAGUGAAGAAGGCCUUAGGGUUGUAAAGCUCUUUUACCCGGGAAGAUAAUGACUGUACCGGGAGAAUAAGCCCGGCUAACUCCGCGCCAGCAGCCCGC